UGUUUUAGUCAAUAUUUUUAUGUUUAUCCACAUAUUCAUGAUUCCUAGGGUUUUCAUUUCUUCCAGUAUUUCAUGGUUCCAUCUUUGUUUAUUCCCAUUUAGCCUGAGGAACUUCCUUGCAUGUGUCUCAUAGUGUGGGAUUGCUGGCAACAAAUUCUCUCAGUUUUUGUUUGUCUGAAUGCAGGUUUAUUUCACUUUCAUUUUUGAUGGGUAUUUUCACUGGUAUUGAAGUUUAUUUCAGUAUUUUAAAAAUAACAUUCCAGUCUUCCUGACUUCUGUCAUUUCUAUUGAGCAAUCAGACAUAAGCCUAUUGUUGACUCAGAGUAACUUCUUUCUCUAGUAGAUAUGGACAGAAGAGAGAAAAUGUUCAUGGAAAAGUAAAAGGCAAUGUUCUUUAUUAUUCCCAAUUACUUUUCUUCUCUAAAAUAUUUUAUUUAGAUUCUCUUGUUAUUGUAAAGUUUAUUUUAUUAAGAGAAUCUUUCUCCUGUAGAAAAAUACUUCAGAGAAAAUGCCUAGUAUUUACAAGUAAUCUGUGACCAUCAAUACUUCCAAGGAGAUGAUGUGCUUCAGUGACUUCCGUGUCCCUGAUAAUUUUCCCAAGUACAUGCACAGCUCCAAACUCAGGACUACUUCAGGAUGCAUGCCACACACUUUGGCCUCCUCGAUUACAUUGGUUUUAAGACCAAAGUGCAAAGUGUGAGGAAGCACCCAGAUUUUUCUGUCAAUGGACAAUGAGAUGUUGUUGUGGAGACUGAAGAGAAGCAAGAGACUUUGGUCUUUGAUGGGGUCUUAGUCUGCAGUGUACACCACACAGAUCCCUACUUACCACUUCAGUCCUUCCCAGGCAUUGAGAAGUUUGAAGGCUGUUAUUUCCAUAGUCGGGAAUACAAAAGUCCUGAGGACUUUUCAGGGGAAAGAAUCAUAGUGAUUGGCACCGGAAAUUCUGGAGUGGAUGUUGCGGUGGAGCUCAGUUGUAUAGCAAAACAGAUUUGACCAGGAGGAACUGAGAUUCAACAUCCUCAAGACUGCAAAAGCACCUAUAAUCAAACAACUUAAUAUAUUUCCUAAUUUUAUCAGCAUGCAGACAAGUUUACAAAUACAUUAUAGAAAGAUUUGAAGAGUGAUUCUGGUUACGUUCAGUUAAGCAGGAUGCUAAUCCUGAACGAUCUGAUGUAUUAAAGUUUUUAAUGUUUGUAUCUUUGUUUUGAUGCAUACAAUAUAGUGGAAGUCUAUAGUAGUUAAUAUGAUGAUAAUCGCUUCUAAAUUUAAAUCCUUAUUUAUAUAUGAAGCAUAGCUAUGUCUAUGUCCAAGAAAGAAUUUUAAAAUAGUAAAUCAGAAACUUGUAAACUAGUGAAUACAAUUUUCUAUUUUUCAUUCAGAAAUUUGUUGUCAUAGACACAGCCUUUAACUGGAAAUCAGUAGACAGGUCUGGUCAAGCACAGCAUAGCAACCACUGUGUAGUAUUUUACUACCUAAUCCUCAGUAGCCCACACUGUUAAAUCUGCGCAAUGAGUAGCAUAUGAAUAAAAAUAAUAUCAUGUAAAA